rnacentral:rRNA from 1 species
GAUGAACGCUGGCGGCGUGCCUAAUACAUGCAAGUCGAGCGAACGGACGAGAAGCUUGCUUCUCUGAUGUUAGCGGCGGACGGGUGAGUAACACGUGGAUAACCUACCUAUAAGACUGGGAUAACUUCGGGAAACCGGAGCUAAUACCGGAUAAUAUUUUGAACCGCAUGGUUCAAAAGUGAAAGACGGUCUUGCUGUCACUUAUAGAUGGAUCCGCGCUGCAUUAGCUAGUUGGUAAGGUAACGGCUUACCAAGGCAACGAUGCAUAGCCGACCUGAGAGGGUGAUCGGCCACACUGGAACUGAGACACGGUCCAGACUCCUACGGGAGGCAGCAGUAGGGAAUCUUCCGCAAUGGGCGAAAGCCUGACGGAGCAACGCCGCGUGAGUGAUGAAGGUCUUCGGAUCGUAAAACUCUGUUAUUAGGGAAGAACAUAUGUGUAAGUAACUGUGCACAUCUUGACGGUACCUAAUCAGAAAGCCACGGCUAACUACGUGCCAGCAGCCGCGGUAAUACGUAGGUGGCAAGCGUUAUCCGGAAUUAUUGGGCGUAAAGCGCGCGUAGGCGGUUUUUUAAGUCUGAUGUGAAAGCCCACGGCUCAACCGUGGAGGGUCAUUGGAAACUGGAAAACUUGAGUGCAGAAGAGGAAAGUGGAAUUCCAUGUGUAGCGGUGAAAUGCGCAGAGAUAUGGAGGAACACCAGUGGCGAAGGCGACUUUCUGGUCUGUAACUGGCGCUGAUGUGCGAAAGCGUGGGGAUCAAACAGGAUUAGAUACCCUGGUAGUCCACGCCGUAAACGAUGAGUGCUAAGUGUUAGGGGGUUUCCGCCCCUUAGUGCUGCAGCUAACGCAUUAAGCACUCCGCCUGGGGAGUACGACCGCAAGGUUGAAACUCAAAGGAAUUGACGGGGACCCGCACAAGCGGUGGAGCAUGUGGUUUAAUUCGAAGCAACGCGAAGAACCUUACCAAAUCUUGACAUCCUUUGACAACUCUAGAGAUAGAGCCUUCCCCUUCGGGGGGGCAAAGUGACAGGUGGUGCAUGGUUGUCGUCAGCUCGUGUCGUGAGAUGUUGGGUUAAGUCCCGCAACGAGCGCAACCCUUAAGCUUAGUUGCCAUCAUUAAGUUGGGCACUCUAAGUUGACUGCCGGUGACAAACCGGAGGAAGGUGGGGAUGACGUCAAAUCAUCAUGCCCCUUAUGAUUUGGGCUACACACGUGCUACAAUGGACAAUACAAAGGGCAGCGAAACCGCGAGGUCAAGCAAAUCCCAUAAAGUUGUUCUCAGUUCGGAUUGUAGUCUGCAACUCGACUACAUGAAGCUGGAAUCGCUAGUAAUCGUAGAUCAGCAUGCUACGGUGAAUACGUUCCCGGGUCU